ACCGGCAGCUAGCUCUCUGCAACUCUUACAUGGUCACCCACUGAGCUAAGCAGGGCUGCGCCUGGUCAGUACCUGCAGGGGAGACCACAUGGGAAAGCUAGGUUGCUGCUGGAA
rnacentral:rRNA from 1 species